rnacentral:rRNA from 1 species
UACGGAGGAUCCAAGCGUUAUCCGGAUUUAUUGGGUUUAAAGGGUUCGUAGGUGGCCUGCUAAGUCACACGUGAAAUCCCUCAGCUUAACUGGGGAACUGCGUGUGAUACUGGCGAGCUUGAGUGCAGGAGAGGAACGCGGAAUUCCAGGUGUAGCGGUGAAAUGCGCAGAUAUCAGGAGGAACACCGAUGGCGAAGGCAGGUCUCUGGGCAUUAACUGACGCUGAGGAGCGAAAGCAUGGGGAGCGAACAGG